UACGUAGGGUGCAAGCGUUAAUCGGAAUUACUGGGCGUAAAGCGUGCGCAGGCGGUUAUGCAAGACAGAGGUGAAAUCCCCGGGCUCAACCUGGGAACUGCCUUUGUGACUGCAUAGCUAGAGUACGGUAGAGGGGGAUGGAAUUCCGCGUGUAGCAGUGAAAUGCGUAGAUAUGCGGAGGAACACCGAUGGCGAAGGCAAUCCCCUGGACCUGUACUGACGCUCAUGCACGAAAGCGUGGGGAGCAAACGAGG
rnacentral:rRNA from 1 species